rnacentral:lncRNA from 1 species
AAAGUCCAAACUAUAAUAUUAUUAAAAGUCUAUAGUUAAAUCACCGAAAACUAAUUAAAAAGAUAAAAAAUAAAAAAAAAUGCAAGCAACAUAAAAGUAAAAGUAAAAGGAUAACAAUAAAUAUAGAGCGGUUUUGUAAAAUGACCACUUUCAUAUUGUAAAAUUAAAAAUUGUCCACUAAGAUAAAAAUAUUAAAAAAUGGCCAGUGUUACCAAAAUACCGUUCACAUUAAAAAUUAAAAAAAUGUCCACUUUACAUCACCCCU